rnacentral:rRNA from 1 species
GACGAACGCUGGCGGCGUGCCUAAUACAUGCGAGUAGAACGCUGAAGGAGGAGCUUGCUUCUCUGGAUGAGUUGCGAACGGGUGAGUAACGCGUAGGUAACCUGCCUGGUAGCGGGGGAUAACUAUUGGAAACGAUAGCUAAUACCGCAUAAGAGUAGAUGUUGCAUGACAUUUGCUUAAAAGGUGCAAUUGCAUCACUACCAGAUGGACCUGCGUUGUAUUAGCUAGUUGGUGGGGUAACGGCUUACCAAGGCGACGAUACAUAGCCGACCUGAGAGGGGGAUCGGCCACACUGGGACUGAGACAAGGCCCAGACUCCUACGGGAGGCAGCAGUAGGGAAUCUUCGGCAAUGGACGGAAGUCUGACCGAGCAACGCCGCGUGAGUGAAGAAGGUUUUCGGAUCGUAAAGCUCUGUUGUAAGAGAAGAACGAGUGUGAGAGUGGAAAGUUCACACUGUGACGGUAUCUUACCAGAAAGGGACGGCUAACUACGUG